rnacentral:misc_RNA from 1 species
AAGUCGUAACAAGGUUUCCGUAGGUGAACUUGCGGAAGGAUCAUUAUCCAACGUUAAACCCCCUGUGAACCUUCGAGUUACAUCGGCAAUCUCUGGUAAAUCAUCGCCGAACAGUUUUGAUUCAGAGACCUCUGGGAAGGGUGUACGGUAGUGCGAGGCAAUUGACCUGGCAUUCCUCUGCUUGUUAGUGUCUGAAAGUGUCACUAUGUACGGAUGGCGCGCUGGAGGCCGACACGGCCGGCGACCAGCUACGGCCCCCCUGAUCACAACCUUUGCAUGAAAACGGGCCUGCGCUGAGGUGCGGCCACCCCUAAUGCUUGAACAAUUAAUGGAUAUCUUGGUUCUC